GAUGAACGCUGGCGGCGUGCUUAACACAUGCAAGUCGAACGAACAGACGAGGAGUUUGUUCCUUUCACGUUUGCGGCGGGCGGGAGAGUAACACGAGUAACAUCCACUUAUAUUUCUGGGAAAAUCUCGGGAAACCGGAGCUAACCCCGUAUAAUCUCUUGAACCGUAUGGUUCAAUAGUAAAUUUCGGCGUUUGUGUCUCGACUAGCUGCAUAUGCGCUGCAUUAGCUAGUUGGUAAGGUAACGGCCUAUCAAGGCAACGAUGCGUAACCGAGCUGAGAGGGUGAUCGGCCACACUGGAGCUGAGACAGGGUCCAGACUACUGCGGUACGCAGCAGUAGGGAAUCGUACGCAGUGGGCGGAAGCCUGACGGAGCAGGGCCGCGUGUGUGGUGAAAGUCUUGGGAUCGUAAUACUGUGUUUUUGGGGGAGAACAGAUGUGUAAGUAGCUGAAGACGUCUUGACGGUACCUAGUCAGAAAGCCACGGCUAACUACGUG
rnacentral:rRNA from 1 species